GGCAUGGGUGGUAUUGGUGUUCUGAGGUCAGAAAUUGAUUCUACAUGACUGACAGACUCGCACAUCAACAGAUGAGCUUCAAUAUAAAGCUAUUUAUCAAAUGGGUGCAGCCAAAAAAGGCUUUCUGAUGAGGUUGAUGCAGAAUAUACUGUAUUAAAACAGUUCUGAAACUUUUAAAUUUAACAUACUUUGACUUGUUUCACAUCUGUGAUUUAUUUAUAGACAUGCUGGAACCUUACUGGAAGGACAGACACCUCUUAAAGAUGAUGCAGUGACCACUGAUUUAAUGAUUGCUAACAAGAUCCUUGAGUGGAACUAUCAUGUCUUCAAAGACUGGAUUCUUGGAAUUUGUGUCCAUCACAUGAUACCUUUGAAGAUGGCUGACAUUCAUGAUGAACUGUAUUUAGUAAUGGCUAUGGUUGAGUGAAUUGAGAUUUGAAAUAUGUGCAGUGCAUAUAUGCAUUCUACAGAUGAAUGAGGUAGAAAUUGGUCCUGCUUGUCCUGUUCCUGUUAUUUUGGAUGCACAUUUAUUAUAAAAGUUUACAAAUGGGGUGUAGGGGUGUAAAUAAAUAUUGAUCUUUAAUGUGGUUUGCAAUUGUGAUUUUACUGUGUCAAUUUUGUAAAAAAGUAUCAUUUAAUUUAAAAAUUAUAUUAUCUAUUUUAUCUAUAUAAUAUUGCAUUGUGAUCAGGUUUCUAGAUAGCGGUACAUUUGUCUUUGGAUCCCACUGUUCUGAUUUGUUAAAAUUUGACCGAAUGUUUAUACAAUGAUGGCAUUAUUAUAAUUAAUUUGGAGUCUAUUGUAAAACAACCCCCAUAUUGUAAUCUGUAUCAUAUCACCGCCAUAGUAACCCUUUUCUUUUGUCAGUUGUCAUGAUUUGUUUCAACUGUAAAAUAUGUGAAAAAUAAAGAUUGAAAAUAUA